UACGUAGGCAGCAAGCGUUGUUCGGAAUUACUGGGCGUAAAGAGUGUGUAGGCGGUGUUCUAUGUUUGGUGUGAAAUCUCCCGGCUCAACUGGGAGGGUGCGCCGAAAACUGGAAUGCUAGAGUAUGGGAGAGGUAAGCGGAAUUCCUGGUGUAGCGGUGAAAUGCGUAGAUAUCAGGAGGAACACCUGUGGUGUAGACAGCUUACUGGACCAUCACUGACGCUGAGACACGAAAGCGUGGGUAGCAAACAGG
rnacentral:rRNA from 1 species